rnacentral:rRNA from 1 species
GACGAACGCUGGCGGCGUGCUUAACACAUGCAAGUCGAACGGAAAGGCCCUGCUUUUGUGGGGUGCUCGAGUGGCGAACGGGUGAGUAACACGUGAGUAACCUGCCCUUGACUUUGGGAUAACUUCAGGAAACUGGGGCUAAUACCGGAUAGGAGCUCCUGCUGCAUGGUGGGGGUUGGAAAGUUUCGGCGGUUGGGGAUGGACUCGCGGCUUAUCAGCUUGUUGGUGGGGUAGUGGCUUACCAAGGCUUUGACGGGUAGCCGGCCUGAGAGGGUGACCGGGCACAAGGGGACUGAGAGACGGCCCAGACGGCUACGGGAGGCAGCGGGGGGGAAUAUUGCACAAUGGGCGGAAGCCUGAUGCAGCAACGCCGGGUGCGGGAUGACGGCCUUCGGGUGGUAAACCGCUGUCGCCUGAGACGAGGCGUGAGUGACGGUAAUGGGUAAAGAAGCACCGGCUAACUACGUG